GGAGCAGGGCCCCUGUCCCCUUCUCUGCCUGGGAGGUGCAUGUGCAGAUGAGGGUGACCGGGCCAGGGCGGCGGGGAGCCCAGGGCAUGGUGAGUGGCCCCAAACUACACUCGGCAGAGGGGGUGAGUCAGGGAGGUGGGUGGUGAGCCCGAGGUUCAGUGUCCUGCAGGCCCCCCCUCCCCGGGCUGAGCAGCUGGGGACCCACAGGCCGUGUGGUACACCAGGGGCAGGGGCCAAGUAGGCUCUGUCCUGGAGGGGCUGGCCUCGUGGGACGGCAUCGGGAUCCUCUUCGACUCCUCCACCGAGGAUACCCAGGUGAGUAGUGAUCUCCUGUCGCCCUCCCCCCCUUCCCCCUCCCCCUCCACCCCGUGCCCAUGGCUCAGGUUGCUCGUCACCUCCCAUGCAGAACAGCCCCAUCAUCCGUGUACUGGCCAGUGAUGCGCACACUCGCUACGAGCCGCGUGGGUAAGGGCCUGUCCGGACACACCCCUACCCCAUUCCUGGGCCCCAAGGGCCUCAGCGGUGACCCACACUGUGUACACAAGCCCCUGCCCCAGCCUCUGACGGGGACUCAUCAGAACUGAUGGCUGCUGCCCUGGAACCGCCUCUCGCUUGUCCCAGCUGUGCCUCCUCUAGGACAGGGACCAGAGUCUGCGUGCUCUUCCCAGGAACUGCCCCACUGAGUCCUCAAUUCAUUCAACCUAACGCCCCAGGUUGGGGGGCGGGACAUGAAACGACACAGGGCGUAGCCUGCACUGAGUGUUGCCACUCACACCGUCUCAUCUGAUCAGCAACACUCUUGAGAAGGGGAGAUCAUUAGUCCCCAACUACAGGUGAGGGCAUUGAGGCCCAGAGAGGUGGAGUGAAUGGCCCAAGGUCACACAGCCGUUGGCAGAGCUGAGCUUUGAGGUCAGAUGGUCCCCGCCCUUCCCCUGAGCCAGCCGCCCGCCUGCCAGAGCCUUCCCUUUCUCCCCGAUGACGAUGACGAGGCUUUCCAUCCCACCCAGGCCCGUCGUCAGUGUCUCCCAGCACGCAUCCCUUAGCUCAUAACAAUUAGAAUAAUUGCUAGCAUUUAUGGAGUAGAGCUUACCUGUCUGCGGGGCACAGCGCCAAGCACUUUACAUUCAUUGUCUUAGCUAACCCUCAUAACAAUGUUAUGAGCUAGUUCCAAUUAUUAUCCUCAUUUUAAAGAUGGGAGAGCUCGGGUUUGGAAAGAUGUGGUCAUUUGCCCAAGGUCACACAGUUAGAGUGCAAAUCGCAGAGCUGGCUUCUCCCUGCUCUGUGCGGCCUCCCUCUUAGCCGCAGGUGGAAGCGCUGUCUGUGUGCCCAGAGAAACCUGGGACCUCUCGGGCCCACAGAACGCGGCUCCCGUCCUCUGUCCUGAGUCUGUCUGCUUCAGUCUGAGCCUGGCAGAAAAAAGAGGAAAGAGGAGCCCUCCCCAGAGGCACAGGGGAACGAGGAGUCUGGGUGGGGGUGGGGGGGACAGUGGGGGAGGUGGUGGGCCUGGGGGGUUGAGGGCAGAGAUCCAGUGUUGCUCCAGGCUCUGUCCCCCUAGGGAAGAGUCACAGGAAGGCCCUGGCGUCUUUCUGCCAGGCAAGGCUUGCUUUCCAGCUCCCCUCUCUCCUGCUAAAGAAGCAAGGGAGACUCAUGCUAGACAACAGGGACACGUUCCAUCCCGGGUGACCCGUGAGGCGGGGGGGGGCGUGCUGUAGGCCUGGGCAGAAAGGCCCCUGGGACGACCCCCACUGUCCAGGCCUUGCGUCCUGUGUGGCCUGGCUGAACUCCAAGUGCCCACAGGGAUGCAGCCAGCGGGGUGCUGGGCUCCUGCCGCCGGGACUUCCGUAACCUGCCGAACCCCCUCAGAGUUCGGAUCACCUACUGGGGGCAGAGGCUGAGGGUGAGUAGCCCUUCCUGCUUUCUCAGAUUCCCUGGGCAGGGAGUGCAAACUAUAGGACUCAGAGCUACAGAGUUGCUAUGUGAGUGCCCAUGGUCCCAACACACCCGUGCCUGUGACACCACACAGGGGCCCGACACAUACAGGUGGCACCCACACGGGACCCUCCUCCCUGCACAGACUCCUAAUCCCAGAGCACAUACUGACGAGGGCUAGCGUGAGACCAGGCAAGCGUGCCCCUCCAUGCCAUGCUGACACCAAGCUGGGUGGCCGCUUGCCCACCUUUAGAACCCAGGGAAGCCAGUGAAUCAAAGGUGGGGAUGACAACCCGCUGCCGGGGUCAGGGGAGAGGUGGGGGGUUCCAGCCGCGAGGGGCUCACUCCUCUGUGCCCCUCAGGUGUCCUUGAACAGUGGCCUCGCUCCCAACGACUUAGAUGAGGUCUGUGUUGACGUGGGUCCACUGCUUUUGGCUCCUGGAGGUUUCUUUGGGGUCUCGGCAGCCACUGGCACCCUGGCAGGUGAGGGCCUUCCUUCUGAGCGGGUGAGAGCAGAGGAAUGGUACCUAAUGAAACACCCUGAGCACACCUUCUAAAGAGCUCUGGGUGUGGGGCCAGCCACUUCCUCUCUGUGUGGUCUGGGCAAGUCAUGAGCCCUCUCUGGGCCUCUGUUACCGUCGGGGCAAGGUCAUGUCUGCCUUGCAGAGUUGCUGAAAGUCUCAAAUAGGAUAAAGCACAAGAAGCUUUUAUUCCAGUGAUGGCCCCAUAAGUGCCCCAAGCUGGGAACUGUGGGGCAAGUAGAAGAGGGACAGCCAUGAGGACAUUGAGGAAACUGCAAAGGGGUGUAACAUAAUGAAGAGUCCACGGAGGGACCCACCGCUGGCAAGCAGGGUGCAGUCUGAGGGUGGGAGUUCUUGAAGGCUCGGACUUUAGUCUUUAGACUCUGAGCACUAGGGAGCAGUGGAAGGUUUCCAAGGAGGAAAGUGACACGGUCUCAGAGCCAUGCUGAGGAGGUGGCCGUCAUAUGGUUGCUUCUGCCACUCUGGGGCCUGAGGGUGUCACUCAUUCUGUUGCCAUGGCUGUAGCCCAGGACUGUCCAGUUUUCCCAGUCAGUGUGGGCCCACCCUUGGCUCUGCGUGUGGGUCAACCCUCACAGUCCACCCAUCUGCUUGUCUGCCCCUCACACCUUUCCCAUGAAGUGAGCAAGACGAAGGUUAGAGAGGCCCAGAGUCACCCAGAUCUCCUGCCUGCCUGGAAUAUAAUAGAGCCGGGCGGGGGGGGGCAGGGGGGUGAGGGCUGAGUGAGUGGGCUGCUGGGCAAGGGCGGGGGUCUUACCUUCCCUUCUCUGCCCCCUCUUCCAGAUGACCAUGACAUCCUGUCCUUCCUGACCUUCAGUCUGAGUGAGCCGGAUCCAAAGGUGAUACCACCCCUGGGUCAGCCUUCAGGGAUUGCUGGGAGAGACAGUCCAGGGACCCCUUCCUGCCCCAGAUGCUUCUAUGUCAUGGUGUAUUCAGCCCUGUCAUUCAAGCCGCUAUCUCUACUGAUCUCUCUCUCUCUCUCUCUCUCUCUCUGAGUUGCUCAGACCAGGCCUUGUGCUAGGCAGUGUGGGGGGCCAGAGGUGACCUAGAGCUAGGCCCCGUUCCUGAAGCACCUCCCAGGCCGUCAGGGGGCUGUGGGAGCACAAAGGACGGGUCCUGACCAGCCAGGGGAGCAGGGAAAGCCACCUGGAAGGCAUGAGCUUGAAAGGGCAGAGAGAGUAGCUGAGUGGAGGAGCAGCAACAAAGGUCUGAGUCCUGGGCGAGCCGCUGGGGCCUGGGCGGCAGCUGGAGACAUAAGCGUGGGGGACCGGCAGCAGCAGAGCCUGAAACCACAGGGCUUGGUGGCCGGGGUGCUUCUUCCCUGGGUGGGAUGCGUGUUUGGUCCGGGAGCGGGACUGGACUUGUGGAGGCCCCGUGGGAAGGCUCCCCUCACCCGCAGCUCUCCCACGGGUCUCAGGCCUGAGUUUGGUCUUCUUUCUCCAGCCUCCCCCACCGCCCUUUCUGGAGAUGGAGCAGCUCCGGCUGGUGAAGCAGCUGGCAGGGCUUCGGGCAAGGCUGGCCCUGGGCACCAGGGAGGAUGUGAUCCCAAAGCUGAGCUCCGAAGUCCAGGAAGAGGGUAGGGACCCAGGGAGCAGGCAGGAGAAGUAGGGGUCCAUUUGAGCAUCACAGGAUCCUCUUCCCUUGGAAUCAGGGGUGCUUUAACCAAUCGGGAGACGAAGGUUCGAGGGGGCCAUAUCUAGCAGACCCCGGGGCCCAGGCUCUGUCCGAUCCCCACCCCACCACCCAGACACAACUUUCUGGGGGCGAGCUGGAGGCAGAAGCCAUGUCUUUCUGCCCCUCGUCUCCAAUAAGCCCCAAAAGAUAGGAUCUGCUACCCCACUGCAGUGGGCUACCGGGCCCAGCUCUGCCCCAAUCUCCAGGGAAAAGGAUCCUUGGCCUGGAAGAGACGCUGGGCAGACACCGCCAGAUCCUGCAGGCUCUCCAUGGUCUCUCCAGACAGUUGGCCCAGGCCGAGAGGCAGUGGAAGAAGCACCUGGGGACCCCAGGCCAUGCCAGGCCUGAGGGAGCCUGGGUGAGUGGCCCCUUGGGCACCCAAGGCCCUGCCUGCAGGCCUGGAAAAGCAAGCUCCCUAGCCACUGGGUUCCUGGCACCGGUGAGCUCCCUCUGUCCAGAAAGAGGAGCAAGCACUAUACUUAGGAUCUAGUCUCCCCCAAGGUCUGGAGGGAAAGGAGGGCAGGGGUGCAGUGCUGCAGGUUGCAGGAGGGGGUAGACCUGCCAGGCGGGGGAGCACACAGGAGGGUAGCCCUGCACGAGCAAAUGCCCACGGAUCCACGCGGCCGGGGCUGGGGAGAGGAGAUGCCAGGUAUUUGGACACGGGUCUGUAGACAAGCGCCAGAAAUAGACUGGGUGCUAAUUUGCAUGUAGCUCCACAUGUGAUUUGGUUCCCAUACGGCUUGCUUAAUGCUCAGACGCACCAGAAUCCUCGUUUUUAUCUCCACUGCCAUCCUGGCUUCUCUUCCAAACAGUCAUGCCCCGUGGCACGCCCAGCCUGGGGCCCGAGAGCUGAACUCAGUCAAGCUGUUAGAUGCCAGGCAGAAGAGGCCGGCGGCUCCUGUGGGCUUUGCUGGGCUCUGGCAGCUCAGGGUUUACAUCUCGUGUCCUCAGGCCAGAGCAGCUGAGGCUGGGCUGCUGGAGUGGGGGAGUGGGGACGGGGCCACACUCCACGGCUAGGCCUCUAUGAUCCUACUUCCAGGCCCAGAACUCUUGCUGCCAGAUUCUCUCCACCCCAGAGAGGGGCAGCCACUUCUCCAGGCCACUCACCGAGACAGAGGCCUAAGCAUUGAGAGUUGCUCGGCACUGGCCCCAUCCUGGACUGUGCCCUGCGGUUGGGGUCGGGGAGAGGGGGGCGGUAGGUAGAAGACUGGACUGGGCCUCUGCCUCCUUUAAGGGCAGAACCACUUCUGAAAGGGGGAGGAAGCCCAUGACCCUCAGGGGGAGGGAUUUGAGAAGAGGGGGAAUCCAGAAGCCCAGAUGCACAGGGGAUAAACUCAACGUGUCAGAUAAUGUCCAAACUGAGGAAGAGCCAGGUGAGGUGGUAAGGCGUUCCAGAAGGAAGAGGGCUACAGUGUCCUCGGGAAGGUAGACUCUGAGAAGAGAAGGGCUGUGGCCUGGGCCCUGGAGAACAAGCUGGCCCUGCUACAGGAUUCUGCCAAGGUCAGCGCCCUGCUCCGUGGACAGAGGACUCUGCUCCAGGACCUGCAAGAGAUGAGGUAAGGGCACCUGCGAGGAGGGGUUCUGGGGGAGGGGCAGAGAAGUCCGGCUCCACCCACUUGCUCAGCCUCAAGUUCCUCCAUUGGCCCCCUAUUCCUUUCCUCACUUCCUGAGCGUCCAGCACAAAGCCUGGCACACAGGGAGGGGCGGGGGCAGAGUUAAGUCUGUCCAGUUGACCUGAAUUUAAUUGAAUCAAGUUUAAAGUUUUGAAAAUCCUAAUUUAAAAGUAACUCUCCCUGGGGAGGGACACAAACCCCCUCCCCAGGGAGAGUUAGUAAAUCUGAGCCUUCCUUCAGGGACGGCUCCUGGAAUGAGGGGAUGUUUUGAUGGCGUUCUUGGAGGAACCAUAACCAAGAUCAGGCCGAGCUGAAGAGGGCAGUCCCUGACUUCUUUUUGCCCCCCUCCAGCCUCCCAGCACCCCACCCUAGGCCAAGCCCAGGGAGCUACCCAUGGGGCUCUGGGGACAGGGAAGUCACCCUGAUGCUACAGAGCAGGGAAGCUUCAGGCUGGGUGCUGGAUUCUGGGUCCCUCACCCACAUCUAGAUGUUUGGGGAUGGGAAGAUGGGAAGAGGGAGAGGAACCAAAUCCCCUGGGGCCUGGGGAUGGAAAACAAAGCCCAGGGAGCCUGGAGUUGAAACAGACAACGUUAGGAAGACCCUUCUCUGAGCUAAAGCUGUCUGAGGAUAUAGGAAGAAGGUUUGGGGUAAGACCAGCCCCUAAGAAGGAGCCCUAUGGAUGGUGCCUGUUUCCCACCAGGUGCUGCCGUUAGGGAUUGUGAGAAAUGGUUAGGAGGCCUGGGUACAACCAGAAGAGAUAAUGAGUCAUCUCCCUUGGUUUCCACCCCCCACCAGGGAUGCAGCUGCCCACGUGGUCUCAAAAGCCCAGCUCUUCUAUCUGCCUGUGGGCACCAAGCAUCAUCUCUCAGAGCUGGCCCAGAUCCUGGGCCUCCUGCAGAAGGACCUUCGGGGCCCACUGGUAAGGGGGAAGGAAGGGGUGCCAUGGGGGCCCCAUCCUUGAGGUUCUGGCUCAGCCCCCUUCUUCCAGCACUUCUGCGUCCCCAGGCCCCUUCUGCCCUUGCACUCCCCUCCCGGGACUGCUGACAGGCACACCUGUAUCUGUGCCUGUGUCUGUGAUACAGAUCUCACCUUCUCUCUGCCCUCUCUGCACUCUGGAGAGUCCCACAGACUCUCAAUGGCAGCAGGGCCCUGGGGACCACUUGGUCCAACCCCUUCAGUGACCAGAAGGGAAAUGGCAGUACUAGAGAUCGAUGGUGGAACCUUCUCUUCCCUGUGUCCCUGGCCCAUCUUGCUCCUACCUUGGCCCUCACCAUCACCUUGUCUUUCACUCUAUUUCUUUCUCAUCUCUAGAGCCUUCAGACCCCUGGUGAUCCCUGGCCCCAGUCCUUCCCAGCCGUCCCCACAGAUGGAGCCAGGGGAGCUAGGGUUGGGGAAGUAGCUCCCUGGAUGAGAACCAGGGUGCCCCAAGCCUGGGGGAGGGAAAUAGAGCCCACACAUGGCCCAGAUUCCAGGUCCCCUUUUUCCUUCUGGGUAAGAAGCCGAUCCAGGACCUUAGAAUGUCCCCUUUCAGAAAGCGGCAGCCAAGAACCGCCGCCCACCUGGCCAACCCCCAGGAGCCUCCUCGUGCCUGCGGCCCAGCAUCUUCUUGUUCUUCCUCCUCAUUCAGACUAUAGGCUUCUUCUGUUACGUGCACUUCAGGUGCGUCUUCCCAUGACUGAGACAUGCUAUACUACUUGACAUCUCUUGAUUCUGGGUCAUAGCCAUUCGAUUGGGACAUGGGGCACUGAGGCCCAGGGGUAACAUGCCUGGUCUACCAGGGCCAAGGAGCAGCACCCAGGCUAGGACCCAUUUUUCCAACAAGCUCUACUGGCCGCCUGCUCAACCGCUUGUCCCAUCUAAGUCCUGCCCUCACAAAACUCACUUGCUAAUGUGAGAAACCGAUGAGUAACUGAUAGUCACACCCUAUCUGGUCAGUGCCAUAAUGGCAGGGAGCUCAGGGGCUGUAACAGUAUGGGAAAAAAGCACUUGACCCAGCUUAGGGAGAUCAAGGAAUUGACUAGAAGGGACAUUGGAUGUGGGUCAAGAUAACUAGGAGUUUUCUAGCCUGACAAGAUAAGUAAAGGCAUCAAUACAGAGGAACAGGAUAAGAAAAGGCAUGGAAGCAUGAAAAAAAGCACAAUAUUCUGGAGAAAAAGUGUCAAGUUCAGUGUCAAAGCAAAAGGUAGGACCAGUUUGUGAAACUGGGCAAAGAGAAUUUAAAAGAGAAUUUAGAAGAGAAUAAAAAGGAGGUCACUAAUUCUGCUUGACGGGUGUUUGUUGAAUGAAUGAAACAUUUAGAGAUGGUGAGUGUGCUAAGGUGCUCAGAAAUUGGACUGACAGUCCUUAUUGGUGGAAUGUCAAGACAAGAAGAAUCAGUGUGGUCUGGGAUGCUCCUGGAGGAGUGAAGCGUGCUGAGCUUUAAAAGCAGAGUAGAAGGAGGCACAGCCUCCAGGUAAAAAUAGCAAAGGUACCGAGUGGAAAUGAUGACAAGCUUAUGCAUUAUGUACGAGUUCGAUGGUGGCCAUAAGGCUGGAGCCACCUAGACAGGCCUUGAAUGCCAAGGAAAGAGUCUGGUCCUGAUGGGGCAGGCCAAGGGAGCCAUAGAAGGUCUUAGAACAAGGGAGGCUGUAAUGGAGAGAUGGUAGAGAGGUGAAUGUAGAAGCCUGGUCUCAAGAGCCCUGAAGGAAGAGAUCCAAGUAACCUUCUUCUCCUUUCCCUGGCAGUAGGCAGGAGCUGGACAAGAGCCUUCAGGACUGUUUGUCCACAGGCAGCCCUCCUCUGUGUCCUGCACCACGCAUUCCUGGGGCCCUGGGGAUUCUGAGGAGGCAGCCUCUCUCCUCCAGCAUACACGCAUGACUCACCUCAAAGCCCUGAAGGAAUCUCCCCAGGAAGUGGAUGGUGUCCAGGGGGUGAGGGUUUGGCCCGUACUUCUCCUUCUGGGUGCCCAGCUCCUGCCCACACCUUAGCUUUUGGGUAGCUCCAAUCUUAUUAAAGGUGAUUUCCAUCUCCCCACGUUUUGUUUGAUAUGCUCCUUUACCUUCUGGCUUUACCUUAAUUUCUCUGAAGGCUUUCACCUUCUCUGGAUAGGUAGCUGGGAGUGGGCUCCAAGUGGGCAAGGACAUCAAGGACUGGUCUGAUUGCCAAAAGACCAGAUACCCCACAAGCCUCGAGCCCUGGACUGUGGAUCAAGAGGGAGUCACAACUGUGGUAAUUCUGUCCCCAGAACAAAGAGUGGAAUCUCCAGGUGCCCCUCUUGGCCCAGCCCAGCCAGCAUCACCAUGAACAACUCUCUCCCUCCCCGCUUCCUGUAGCUCUAGGGGUCAGCAGAGCUGGCAUAGGAGGGAGAACUCUGAGGCAACCCAUGGAGACAUAACCGGGAUUCCCGCUUUCUGGUCUCCCUUUCCCAGCGCCCAGCUCUUUGGGCAGCUGCUGGGGCAGCGGGGUGGGGAGGAUGGUGUAGGGCCCAGGGCUGGAUCUUUGCCCCUUGCUGCCACUUGGAUCUGCCAGCUGAAAUCCUGGCUAUCAGCGACCUGGGAGAGGAGGAGGUGGGGGGAGAGUAGGAAACAGGGUUCUGGACGUGCAUCAGUGCAGCCCCUUUCCCUGGGGAGCGACCCCACCCCGCGCAGGCCCUAAUCCGUUGUUAGCAAUGCCCAGGCGGAGCUUGGCGUUGAAGGAGGCACGUGGGGGAGGCGGGAGUGCGGAGCGGGCACGUGGUCCAGCCUCCUCAGCCCCGUGCAUGCCCCCCGCCCCCCGUGAGGAGGGGUUUGGGGAGGUGGGGGCGGGCCUGGGCGGGGGCGGGCGGCGGGAGGCUCAGAGCGUGGGGCGCGGGCCGGCGGCAGGAGCUGUCCGCGAGACCUAGUGCUGAAGUAGGUGCGGACGUGCCUGGCGCCCGGCCCCCGGUGCCAGGGCCAGCGAAGACCAUGGCGUUCAUGGUGAAGACUAUGGUGGGCGGCCAGCUGAAGAACCUCACCGGGAGCCUGGGGGGCGGCGAGGACAAGGGGGACGGGGACAAAUCGGCGGCCGAAGCGCAAGGCAUGAGCCGAGAAGAGUAUGAGGAGUAUCAGAAGCAACUGGUGGAAGAGAAGUGAGUGGGAUCCCUUCCUGGCUCCAACGACCUUCCCCCCGCCCCCACCCCCUCCAGCUACCUGGCCCACCUCUAGGGCGGUUUCAGACCCCGAGCCCUCUCACCCUACUUUUCUAGAUGCGGUAGGAGGCUGGGUUGUGCUUUCUAGGCUGCCCCCAGAGCCGCCCCAUCUCAGACCCAGGACCCGGCCCCAGCUUCGCACUCAGGGCUCAGAGGGAGUGGGGGCAGGGGCAAUAGGGACCUGGGAUGGGGUGGGGGCACGUGCAUUUCUGACGAAACAAGUAAUCCCUUAAUCCGAUCUGGUCCUAACCGUCUGCAUCUUCCAACUGGAGCUCCUCUAAGCCUGAGGCUCCGAGAAAAGUAAUGAAUCUGAGGGGGCUCAAAAUCACGGAGACAGAUCUUGAGAUGGGGCACUCAUAGAUACUGAGCCUCAGUGUCUUCUUGUGUGCAGGCAGUGCUGGGACAGAGAGGCAGCUGGGGUGGGAUAAGGAGCUGGACCCCAGAGUUAGGUUGCUUAGGUUUAGAUCCAGGUUUCGUGUCUGUUUAGCUAGAUGACUUUAAGCCAGUUACUUAAACCUUUCUGUGCCUCAGUUUCCUCUUCUGUAAAAUGGUGAUGGUAAUCAUAAAGCAUGCCUUAUAUAUGUAUAAGAAUUAAAUUAUUUAACGCAUGUUAACUUCAUAGCACAGUGCCUGGAACAUAGUAAAUCAUUAAAUAUUAGCUAUUAUUUUGCUUACUCCUGAUAACAGUUUUUUUGUAAGUUGCAAAAGAGGAAAAUAAGUGACUUAUCCAAAGACAUACCGAAAGUGGUAGUGCAGCCAGGACGCAAACCCAAGUCUGCCCCGAAUACUUUCCCCCACAAGACACAAUCUAUCAGGAAGGGAAAAGACAGACGGAGUUGGAGGCCGCGAGAGACACCCAUUAGGGUCUGCAGAGUGAGCCAGACCAGCUGACUCUCCAGCCCCAUAGUCCAGUGGCCGGUGCAGAGGCAACAAAGGACAGUUAUGAUGGGAGAGAGGCAGCAAAGACUGACGGAGGCCCGCCAGGUCAGACACACAGGCUAACAGGCUGGAGCAAAGCGGUCGGCGCCGGGACACGGAGACCCCGCCGGCCCUUUCCUCGCAGACCCCGCCCAUUCUCUCAGCCCUUGAGAUGACUCCGCCCCGGUGCCCCCGCAGGAUGGAGCGGGAUGCGCAGUUCACGCAGAGGAAGGCAGAGCGGGCCACGCUGCGGAGCCACUUCCGAGAUAAAUACCGACUGCCCAAGGUAAGCUUACGAGCCUGGGCUGGCAGGUACAUCUGGGAUUCUGAGCUUGGGGCUCCCCACUCUUUCUCCCAGCACAGCUGGGCACCACAACUUUCAGCUCCUAAAACUCAUGGAGACGAGUUCUUGGUUGGAUCCUUCCUUCUCGGACUCAAAGCCCGGUCUUCCCAAGGCUGAUAGGUUUGUGUUUCUGGAGCCAGUUCAGGCCCCUUCUCUCCCCCACCUACCACUCUCCCAACCCCCAGUCAAGCCCAGGCAGAUGAAGAAGUGGAAGGCAGUAGAUUUUACCCCAGGGUUGAGUACACUCUGAGCUCCCGAACACCCAUGGAGGGUGGGGUGGGGUAGAGAAUGCACACCCUCUGUGUGCCAGGCCCUUGACCUUCAUGCCCUUAUGUAACCCCUCAAUAACACUUCCAGGUAGCUAUCACCCACACUACAAAUAAGGAAACUGAGAUUCAGAGAGGUUGAGGGACUUGUCAAGGCCAUACAACCAGCUAGUAAUGGAGCUGGGGUCAGAGCUCAAGCCUGUGAAUACUGAACCUCAGCUUGCUCCAGGACUCCUGGCUGGCUUCCAGGGUGUGGUGUCUGUCUGCAGAGAGCAAAAUGCCCCUUGGUUGGCCAAGCAGCCAGGAAGACGUCUCCCAUAGGCACUACAGCAGUACAUGGGCAUGUAAGUGUUGCCUAAGGAGAGAACUGAGGCACAAGCUACUCCCAGUGCCUAGAAUCUUCCACUUGAAUUGAAAGAUCAGACAUGUGAACAUUACAUUCACUCAUUCAACAAAUGUUUACUGAUCCCCUGGCUGCCUCUGACGUUCCGCAGGGCACCAGCCUUCUGGAAGUCUCUCAGAGGGAAAACCACUCCAGAAAGCCUAGAAAGCUACUGAGUUAAACCCAGCUAAGAAUGGAGUCAUUAAAAAAAAAAAAAAACAACCAGGAAUGGAGUCAUUCCUCAAAUGCUUGCACGAGCCACAUUAAGAGUAACAACUCCUGCCACCAGGAAACUCUGAGUCUAGUAGAAGAGGGAAGACUUGGCGGUAACUGAGUAGGACAUAAAGUGGAAAGCCCCAGGGUUCCCAAAGGGAAAGAGAAAUGCAAUGGCAGUCAGUAGGUGUUGUGCAAAGAGAGCACAGAUGUUGGAAUCCAUGAUGUAGGUUUAAAACGAGCGUCUGUGCUUCCUAGUUGUGUGACCUUGCCCAAGUUGCUUACUUGAGUAAUUUACUUAAACUGCACCUCAAUUUCCUUACUUGUAAAAUACAGAUAAAAAUACCCACCUCACAGGGUUAUUUUGAAUGUCAGCCAUACAGUAGGCAUUUGAUAAAUGGUACCCAUCACUGUUAUCAGUAACGUCCUCCAGUGUAGUUAAUGAUAGUCAGCAUGUGACUUGGCUGAUUAGCACAGUUUGACUCCUAAGUAUGUUCAUUUUGCUUUAUUCACUAUGCUGGUGUCUUCAAUAUCUCAGAGUGAAGUAAGGUGGUAUAAAAGUGCAAGGUCUCCAUGUCCAAGUGUCAAAAGCUUGAUCCUGGGAUGGGGGUGGGGGAGUGGGUGGCUGAACUCACCAGAGUAAGUUCUCAUGCGGCUCGAGAAUCUAGGGGCUGGGAGCCCAGUCCAGGCCUCCUCCCUGUCCCUUCAACUCUGGGUCUUCAUGGACCUCCAACCACACUCCACCCUCCCCUCUUCCCUUCAGAACGAGACAGAUGAGAGCCAGAUUCAGAUGGCAGGUGGAGACGUGGAGCUGCCCCGGGAGCUGGCCAAGAUGAUUGAGGAGGACACAGAGGAGGAGGAGGAGAAGGCCUCCGUCCUCGGGCAGUUGGCCAGUCUCCCUGGCCUAGACCUCGGCUCACUCAAGGACAAGGCCCAGGCCACAUUGGGGGACCUCAAGCAAUCAGCUGAGAAGUGCUACAUCAUGUGACUACUUCCUCUGGGGCUGCCCGCUGGGGUGACCAGAGGGCUGGGCCCACAUGAGGGCUAAGAGCAUGUCCCAGUGUUCAGGGACCCAUACCCCAUCUUAGUUUUGUUCCCCCUGUCCCAUGCUAGCUCAGGACCCUUCCCAUCUGUGGCCCAAGUCUGCCUUCUGGUCUUUCUCUUUCCACUAGGAACAAAGUCCCCAUUCCUCACCCUUCUCCUCAGGACCCACCCUCUCUACUCAGCCUGGAGAGGCCUCCUAAGAUUGUAGGAAUAGGCCCAUCCCUCUCUGGCCAUUGCCCUAAGUUCCUGCACACAGGAUCAUGCAUAGAGAGACCCACAGAGGGACAUAGAAGCUGUGGUAUGUGCAGAGGCGUAUGCCACAGCUGCAUCCUGGCACACCCUGGCACACCCUGGCACAG
rnacentral:lncRNA from 1 species